UACGUAGGGUGCAAGCGUUAAUCGGAAUUACUGGGCGUAAAGCGUGUGUAGGUGGUCAAGAAAGUCGGUUGUGAAAUCCCUGGGCUCAACCCGGGAACUGCUUCCGAUACUUCAUGACUCGAAUUCGGUAGAGGGAGGCGGAACUCCAGGUGUAGCGGUGAAAUGCGUAGAUAUCUGGAAGAACACCAAUGGCGAAGGCAACCUCCUGGGCCUGAAUUGACACUGAGACACGAAAGCGUGGGGAUCAAACAGG
rnacentral:rRNA from 1 species